UACGGAGGGUGCGAGCGUUGUCCGGAAUCACUGGGCGUAAAGGGCGCGUAGGCGGCCUGAUAAGUAGGGGGUGAAAUCCUGCGGCUUAACCGCAGGGCUGCCUUCUAAACUGUCAGGCUAGAGCACAGUAGAGGCAGGUGGAAUUCCCGGUGUAGCGGUGGAAUGCGUAGAGAUCGGGAAGAACAUCAGUGGCGAAGGCGGCCAUCUGGACGGUGACUGACGCUGAGACGCGAAAGCGUGCGUAGCAAACAGG
rnacentral:rRNA from 1 species